CCUUGGCUUCGAAUAUCAUUUUGACAGACAACGGGCCGAGACGUAUGAAGCGCCUGGAUGCGGGGUGGAAGAAUGGUUGCCAAAUUCGUAUGUGACGUGAGAAAAAGUAUACAAAAUAGAAAAGCGUUAAACAAACCGGUUUUUCUUAUCACAACACAUUGAAACCCCUUGUCUGUUUAACCGAUAAUAUGAAUUUUAUUUAUGUUGCAAGCACGUUUUGUGAUUUUGCAGCAAAUAUUUUGUUGUAUUUGUUUAUUUCUAUGAAAUUUUCGUCGUAAAUAAGGUCUAACGAUCACAGGCGAGACAGAAAUACAAAAACGGAAAAGCGAUAUGCACACGUUUGGAAAAUGAAGAAUGGGAAGUAGAGAACGAUUCAAACUAGCAAGUUCAUGGUCAACCGGAUACAUCUAACAUCAUUUAUCACCUAUGCACCUGCACAUACCGACCAGACCAAUCCAACUUAGACUGCGGAGCAUCGGAUGACACCGGACUACAGAGAACACGGCGUAGCGAACGAGACACCAGUGCAUGCGUGGUACCAACGUGACCGAGCUUCCAUCAGAACCAGAAAGAUCUUACGAUCGCACUUGCAUUUUGACAUCUAAAUAGCUUAGCAAAUAGACAGAAUUAGGCAAUAGCUUAGCAAAUAGACAUAAUAAGGCAUAAGUUAGACACAAAAAAGUCAGGACAUGUAAUGUAAUGUAAGUUUUAAGCAAUAUCAUUAGAUGGAGAAGUCUAUUUUCAUUUAGGUCCUUUAACGCACACAUUUUAAGAGUAGCUAGCUAGUUAGAGAGUGCAAUAGAAAAAAGGCAGAGAGUAGCUUUAUUUCAAUAUUUAAAUUUUUGUUUAUAUUACUUUUUGUUAUCAGUUGGCUAGCAAAUGCUAAGAUUCAUGCGUAUCUUUAACUCCUAUUCCAACCUCCUCGUCGUGCUAGCAGAAUUUUAAUUGAAGCAUGCAGAUUGAUUGCUUCACAAUUAUUAACUAAUAGGAAUGGAGUAACUUUUUAUGUUAAUAGAUUUCGUACAUAAAUAAAUGUUGAUCUUGAUUUCCUAGUAA